rnacentral:rRNA from 1 species
GACGAACGCUGGCGGCGUGCCUAAUACAUGCAAGUCGAACGGACCUUGCUUGGACGGAGUGGAGUACUUGUACAAAGCGAAGACUGAGCGCUGGUUAGUGGCGAACGGGUGAGUAACACGUAGGUAACCUACCGAUAAUACGAGGACAACUCAUGGAAACGUGAGCUAAUACUGGAUGUGGUAUAUGGAAGGCAUCUUCUAUAUAUUAAAGGAGCUUUUGGCUUCACUUAUUGAUGGACCUGCGGCGUAUUAGCUAGUUGGUAGGAUAGCAGCCUACCAAGGCAAUGAUACGUAGCCGAUCUGAGAGGAUAAACGGCCACACUGGGACUGAGAUACGGCCCAGACUCCUACGGGAGGCAGCAGUAGGGAAUUUUCCACAAUGGACGAAAGUCUGAUGGAGCAACGCCGCGUGUGUGAAGAAGGUUUUCGGAUUGUAAGCACUGUUGUAUGGGAAGAAUAAGGUGAGAAGGAAAUGGCUCAUCGAUGACGGU